rnacentral:rRNA from 1 species
UACGUAGGCAGCGAGCGUUGUUCGGAAUUACUGGGCGUAAAGAGUGUGUAGGCGGUGUUCCCAGUCUGUUGUGAAAUCUCCCGGCUUAACUGGGAGGGUGCAGCGGAAACUAGAAUGCUAGAGGGUGGGAGAGGUAAGCGGAAUUCCUGGUGUAGGCGGUGAAAUGCGUAGAUAUCAGGAGGAACACCUGUGGUGUAGACAGCUUACUGGACCACUUCUGACGCUGAGACACGAAAGCGUGGGUAGCAAACAGG